GCGCGAAAACUUUACAAUGCUGGCAACAGCGAUACGGGAACCUCGAGUGCCAGGUUACAAAUCUGGCUGUCGAGAUGCCUAAAAAGCAUUUCAUAGCAAGGGCCGGGCAAGACCGGUGCCAGCCGCCGCGGUAACACCGGCGGCUCGAGUGGUAACCGUUAUUAUUGGGUCUAAAGGGUCUGUAGCCGGCCGGCUAAGUCUCUUGAGAAAUCUGGCAGCUUAACUGUCAGGCUUUCAGGGGAUACUGUCUGGCUCGAGGCCGGGAGAGGUGAGGGGUACUUCAGGGGUAGGGGUGAAAUCUGGUGAUCCUUGAAGGACCACCAGUGGCGAAGGCGUCUCACCAGAACGGACCUGACGGCAAGGGACGAAAGCUAGGGGCACGAACC
rnacentral:rRNA from 1 species